ACAGUGAAGUAAGUUUGAAUAAUUCACAAGGAAGUUCUAGUGGUUUGCUAGUGACAAUGGUGCAAAAUCGUUGGUGUUAUGAAGUAUUAGACUAUGGUUUUCAACAGUAUUGCCUUUGCAAAGCAUAUAUUACCUGCAUGUGAAGGGAAAAGGUACGUAUGAUUGGGACUUUGGCAGUCCAAAAUUUAAAUUUCUUAUUGAUUGUGCUAAUUGUAGUAUGAAAGAAAGCUAUAGGUUGUUGUUUUUGUUACUUACACUCCUCUCUUGGAUAGUAUAGGUUUGUUUGCAUCAUCUAUGUUCUGUAUAACUUUUGAUUCAAUUUGCUUGUUGUGGUUUUUCCUUAUGUAUUUUUUCUUGAUAAUGAUAUAUAUUCUGAACGUUUUGUAUCCUCGCAUUUCAAUUAUAAAUUUGUUGAUUCUAAUGAUGUUCAAUUCAUUUUUGUUGUCUUUUGUUUUGAAGUCACAUGAAGAAGUCAAGUGAUUCCGAUUUAAGGUAAUUCCAAGUUGGGACUACAUUGUAGAUAUAUGUGCUAAAAGAUAGAGCAACUUGGAGCAUAACAUGCAUUGGAUGCAGAUGAUGUCUUGAGCAGAGAAGUACAGGUUCCAAUCCGAACAAUUUACUGCCUCUGACUUGUACUGUUUUUGUUCUACUACCUUUGAUUCUGUUUUUAUUCUACUUCCAAUUAAAGUUUCUCUCCUUAUAGUUCAAAUGUAAUAAAAUAUCAUCAAUCUUAUUCUGAAACUUAGAUGUAAUAAAGUAUCACCAAUCUUCUUUGGAUUUAAAAUUUUACUACUGAUUUUUGCUUGCAGAUUUCUCCUUUAUGGUUUAUAAGUUAUUGAAAAUUCUAUUUGCUGUUUGUUUCAGGUGCAGUCCUUGCGGGAUGUAAUGUGCAUGGAAAUGCUCAUACAGAGAAUGAGAACACUUAUUUAUUACUCUCAACAAAUGUAUAUACCUCAGUUGGGAAGUGGAAAGGACCUGCCAAUUUUAUUUUAGGAUGAAAAACAAGGGCAUGGGAUAAAUGAAUAUACAUUGUUGCAGUCAUUAAGAACAUGUACUAGCGAAAAAACAGGUACUAAUGUGUCUAUUUGUUCACUUUUCUAUUGUGUUUCAUUGUAUAAAUAUAUAUUGUAUAAUGUUCGUUUUAAUUUAAUCAUUUGUUAAGUGUUAUAAUUUUUAUGUAAUA
rnacentral:lncRNA from 1 species